rnacentral:rRNA from 1 species
AACGAACGCUGGCGGCAGGCUUAACACAUGCAAGUCGAGCGCAUCCUCCGGGGUUAGCGGCGGUCGGGUGAGUAACGCGUGGGAACGUGCCCUUUUCUACGGUGUCGUUUCGGGUAACUGAGAGUAAUGCAACAUGCGCCAGCAAGGGGAAAGAGCUAUCGGAGGAGGAUCGGCCCGGGAAGGUUUAGGUAGUUGGUGGGGUAAUGGCCGACCAUACCGACGGUCCAUAGGUGGUUUGAGGAUGAUCAGCCACACUGGAACUGAGGCACGGCCCAGACUCCGACGGGAGACAGGAGUGGGGUGUCUUAGACGAUGAGGGCAACCCUGGUCCAGCCAUGCCGCGUGAGCGGUGCAGGCCUUAGGGUUGUAAUGAUCUUUCAGCUGGGAAGUUAAUGACGGUAACAGCAGAAGAAGCCCCGGCUAACUCCGUG